AUUGAACGCUGGCGGCAGGCCUAACACAUGCAAGUCGAGCGAGUGGCGGACGGGUGAGUCAUAUAUCGGAACGUGCCCAGUAGCGGGGGAUAACUACUCGAAAGAGUGGCUAAUACCGCCUACUAUUGGAUCGGCCGAUAUCGGAUUAGCUAGUUGGUGGGGUAAAGGCGCACCAAGGCAACGAUCCGUAGCUGGUUGGAGAGGACGAGCAGCAACACUGGGACUGAGACACGGACCAGACGCCUACGGGAGGCAGCAGUGGGGAAUGUUGGACAAUGGGGGAAACCCUGAUCCAGCCAUCCCGCGUGUAUGAGAAGGCCUUCGGGUUGUAAAGUACUUUUGGCAGAGAAGCGGUAUCUGCAGAAUAAGCACCGGCUAACUACGUGCCAGCCGCCGCGGUAAUAC
rnacentral:rRNA from 1 species